UAAUACGGAGGGGGCAAGCGUUGUUCGGAAUUACUGGGCGUAAAGGGCGCGCAGGCUGUUUCGUUAGUCAGGCGUGAAAUCCCCGGGCUCAACCCGGGAACUGCGUUUGAUACUGCGGAACUAGAGAUCGGGAGAGGGUAGUGGAAUUCCCAGUGUAGAGGUGAAAUUCGUAGAUAUUGGGAAGAACACCAGUGGCGAAGGCGGCUACCUGGACCGAUACUGACGCUGAGGCGCGAAAGCGUGGGGAGCAAACAGGAUUAGAUACCCUGGUAGUCCACGCCGUAAACGAUGUGUGCUAGACGUCGGGGGUUACGCCUUCGGUGUCGCAGCUAACGCAUUAAGCACACCGCCUGGGGAGUACGGCCGCAAGGUUA
rnacentral:rRNA from 1 species